rnacentral:tRNA from 1 species
UAGCUCAGAUGGUAAAGAAUCUGCCUGCAAUGCAGGAGAUCCAGGUUCAAUCCCUGG